CUCAGCCUGAGGGGGUGAAAAGGCCACAGUUCUGGCAGCAGAGUCAGUCAGAGUAUUUCCACGCAUAACUUUAUUCUGGGAAGAUUGGUGAGCAACACAUUUAAUAAUAGCAACAGCAACAGGUAACUGAAGGGCAUCUAAUAAGGCGGCUACAUAAGAACCAUUACGAAUGGGUGUGCCAUUUGAGGUAAGAAACCCACAUUGUUUCCAUUAUCGCCCAUAGUCAUGGACCACACCAAAGGCAUAAUGCAAAUCUGUAUAUAUAUUAACAGUUUUACCUUUGGCAAGGGUACAGGCACGAGUGAGGGCAUCAAGUUCAGCAAUUUGGGCUGAAUAGACAGAAGAUAAAAAAAUACUUUCGAGUACCUCGUGCUGGGAACAUACAGUGUAACCUGCAACAAGAGAACCUUUAGAAUUUCUUAGGCAUGACCCAUCAACAUGCAGGACUAGGUCAGCAUUUGAAAUAGGAAUAUCUUUAGGAUCAUCCUGGGGUAAAGUCAAAUGAGCAGUAACAGUGAGGCAGUCAUGAGGCUCGCCAUCGGAAGGUGCACGCAACAAGGAAGUAGGAUUAAGUACAGGGCACCAAAGUAAAGUAAUGUGUGCUGCAGAAAGUAGUAGAAUUUCAUAUUUAGUUAAACAAGCAUUUGAAAGGUGCUGGGUUUUGGUUUUUAAAAGAAGUGCAGCCACUGAGUGGGGUACAGCAACAGUUAAAGGUGAAGCUAGGACAAUAUUUGCAGAUGAUUCCACAAGAAUGGCGGCAGCAGCAACUGCUCGAAGGCAUAGUGGAAACCCGGUUGCUACAGAAUCUAGGGCUGUACUAGAGUAGGUGAUAGGAUGGUGUUUAUCUCCAUGGGAUUGUGCAAGCAGUCCCAGAGCAAAGCCACCCUUUCAAUGGCAAACAGUGUAAAAGGCUUUGAGUAAUCAGGAAGUCCCAGUGCGGGUGCCUGCAAAAGGGCAAUUUUAAUAUCAGAAAAGGUGUUUUUGGCUUCUGGAGACCACUGCAAGGGUUCAGGGGUGUCCCCUAAGAAUUGGAGUAUUACAAGGACUAGAAGUGGGGAUCAAGAUACCUUGCUGAAAGAGGGAAGAAAUGACUGGUGCAAUUCCUUGCUUGGCCUCUUUGCUGAGAGGAUACUGGGAGAUGCGCGGGAGCUGCUUUUGCAGGUCAAAAUGAAUUUUAACAGGUUCAGCUGUGCGUAUCUGCCCAACUUCAUUUGCAUGUUGUGACCAUAGGGCAGGGGGUACUUGUUUAAGGAUUUCUUCUUUGAAAUCAGGGUUUGUGAAAGAAAUAGGUAGAGUUACUGGUUCAAUCAUAGCAGCAAGAUCUGUGCAUUCAUUUUCUGCUGGUACUUCAAGGAAAACUCCAUCCACUGCACAAUAAAUAGUACAACCAAGUUUACAAAGUAGAUCAUGACCUAAAAGAAUAACGGGGGCAAAAGGGCUUAAAAGGAAAAUAUGCUGGUUCGAAACAGGACCAAGGGUAAUGGACAAGGAUUGAGUUAUAGGAUGAGAAAUUACUUGAUUGGAAAUACCGACAGCACUAACAACAGUAUUGCAAAGAGGUGGAUCAGGGAGAUCAGAAAGAUGCAGAGCGGAACAGCUUGCCCCUGUGUCAACAGGGCAAGUUAUCUUUUUUCCUGCUAUGGCACAUUCUACAUAGGGUCCAGACUAAUCAACGGGUAAGAGUGGAGAAAGGAUGAAGUUACUAUCCCUCAGGCAGUCCUAAUAUUGAGAU